UACGUAGGGCGCGAGCGUUGUCCGGAAUUAUUGGGCGUAAAGAGCUCGUAGGCGGCCUGUUGCGUCUGCUGUGAAAUCCCAGGGCUUAACCCUGGGCCUGCAGUGGAUACGGGCAGGCUGGAGGCAGGCAGGGGAGAACGGAAUUCACGGUGUAGCAGUGAAAUGCGUAGAUAUCGUGAGGAAGACCAGUGGCGAAGGCGGAUCUCUGGACAGCUCCUGACGCUGAGGCGCGAAGGCUAGGGGAGCAAACGGG
rnacentral:rRNA from 1 species